rnacentral:rRNA from 1 species
UACGUAGGGGGCUAGCGUUGUCCGGAUUUAUUGGGCGUAAAGAGCGUGUAGGCGGCCAGGUAGGUCUGCUGUGAAAACUCGAGGCUCAACCUCGAGACGUCGGCGGAAACCAUCUGGCUAGAGUCCGGAAGAGGAGAGUGGAAUUCCUGGUGUAGCGGUGAAAUGCGCAGAUAUCAGGAAGAACACCUAUGGCGAAGGCAGCACUCUGGGACGGUACUGACGCUGAGACGCGAAAGCGUGGGGAGCGAACAGG